rnacentral:rRNA from 1 species
AGAGUUUGAUCCUGGCUCAGGACGAACGCUGGCGGCGUGCCUAACACAUGCAAGUCGAACGAGGUUUAUCUAGUGGCAACACCGGAGAAGACCUAGUGGCGAACGGGUGAGUAGCACGUGAGCAACCUGCCCCGAAGACCGGGAUAACACCGGGAAACCGGUGCUAAUACCGGAUGCCCUCACGAGAUCGCAUGGUCAUGUGAGGAAAUGGAUUCCGCUUCGGGAGGGGCUCGCGGCCUAUCAGUUUGUUGGUGGGGUAACGGCCUACCAAGACGACGACGGGUAGCUGGUCUGAGAGGACGAUCAGCCACACUGGGACUGAGACACGGCCCAGACUCCUACGGGAGGCAGCAGUGGGGAAUCUUGCGCAAUGGGCGAAAGCCUGACGCAGCAACGCCGCGUGAGGGACGAAUGCUUUCUGAGUUGUAAACCUCUUUCAGCAAGGACGAUUGUGACGGUACCUGCAGAAGAAGCACCGGCCAACUACGUGCCAGCAGCCGCGGUGAUACCUAAGGUGCAAGCGUUGUCCGGAUUUAUUGGGCGUAAAGAGCUCGUAGGCGGUUUGGUAAGUCUGGUGUGAAACCCCCCGGCUCAACCUGGGGCGGCCAUCCCAUACUGCCAUGACUUGAGUCCGGUAGGGGACCAUGGAAUUCCUGGUGUAGCGGUGAAAUGCGCAGAUAUCAGGAGGAACACCAGUAGCGAAGGCGGUGGUCUGGGCCGGUACUGACCCUGAGGCCCAAAGCGUGGGGAGCGAACAGGAUUAGAUACCCUGGUAGUCCACGCCGUAAACGUUGGGCACUAGGUGUGGGGACUAUUCAACGGUCUCCGUGCCGCAGCUAACGCAUUAAGUGCCCCGCCUGGGGAGUACGGCCGCAAGGCU